rnacentral:rRNA from 1 species
AACGAACGCUGGCGGCAUGCCUAACACAUGCAAGUCGAACGAGACCUUCGGGUCUAGUGGCGCACGGGUGCGUAACGCGUGGGAACCUGCCCUUAGGUUCGGAAUAACUCCCCGAAAGGGGUGCUAAUACCGGAUAAUGUCUUCGGACCAAAGAUUUAUCGCCUUUGGAUGGGCCCGCGUUGGAUUAGCUAGUUGGUAGGGUAAAAGCCUACCAAGGCGACGAUCCCUAGCUGGUCUGAGAGGAUGCUCAGCCACACUGGGACUGAGACACGGCCCAGACUCCUACGGGAGGCAGCAGUGGGUAAUAUUGGACAAUGGGCGAAAGCCUGAUCCAGCAAUGCCGCGUGAGUGAUGAAGGCCUUAGGGUUGUAAAGCUCUUUUACCCGGGAUGAUAAUGACAGUACCGGGAGAAUAAGCUCCGGCUAACUCCGUG